rnacentral:rRNA from 1 species
GAUGAACGCUGGCGGCGUGCCUAACACAUGCAAGUCGAGCGAUUCUCUUCGGAGAAGAGCGGCGGACGGGUGAGUAACGCGUGGGUAACCUGCCCUGUACACACGGAUAACAUACCGAAAGGUAUGCUAAUACGAGAUAAUAUGCUUUUAUCGCAUGGUAGAAGUAUCAAAGCUUUUGCGGUACAGGAUGGACCCGCGUCUGAUUAGCUAGUUGGUAAGGUAACGGCUUACCAAGGCGACGAUCAGUAGCCGACCUGAGAGGGUGAUCGGCCACAUUGGAACUGAGACACGGUCCAAACUCCUACGGGAGGCAGCAGUGGGGAAUAUUGCACAAUGGGCGAAAGCCUGAUGCAGCAACGCCGCGUGAGCGAUGAAGGCCUUCGGGCCGUAAAGCUCUGUCCUCAAGGAAGAUAAUGACGGUACUUGAGGAGGAAGCCCCGGCUAACUACGUG